CGGAUUGGAGUCUGNAACCCGACUCCAUGAAGCUGGAUUCGCUAGUAAUCGCGCAUCAGCCACGGCGCGGUGAAUACGUUCCCGGGCCUUGUACACACCGCCCGUCAAGCCAUGGAAGCCGGGGGGUGCCUGAAGUGCGCUGCCGCAAGGAGCGUCCUAGGGUAAAAACCGGUGACUGGGGGCUAAGUCGUAACAAGGUACC
rnacentral:rRNA from 1 species